rnacentral:rRNA from 1 species
CCUACGGGUGGCAGCAGUGAGGAAUAUUGGUCAAUGGGCUUACGCCUGAACCAGCCAAGUCGCGUGAGGGAAGACUGCCCUCUGGGUUGUAAACCUCUUUUGUCAGGGAGCAACGCCGGCUACGUGUAGCCGGACUGAGAGUAGCUGAAGAAAAAGCAUCGGCUAACUCCGUGCCAGCAGCCGCGGUAAUACGGAGGAUGCGAGCGUUAUUCGGAUUGAUUGGGUUUAAAGGGUGCGUAGGCGGAAUGCCAAGUCAGCGGUAAAAUCGCGGGGCUCAACCUCGCUCCGCCGUUGAAACUGGCGUGCUUGAGUGGGCGAGAGGUAUGCGGAAUGCGUGGUGUAGCGGUGAAAUGCAUAGAUAUCACGCAGAACUCCGAUUGCGAAGGCAGCAUACCGGCGCCAGACUGACGCUGAAGCACGAAAGCGUGGGUAUCGAACAGGAUUAGAUACCCCAGUAGUC